rnacentral:sRNA from 1 species
CAUGCUAUUGUCUAUGUCACCGGCACCGGAGGCCGCACGGUGAUAAGCAUCGUUUGACGAUGAACCGAAAUCCCAAGUCCGUUCCCAGCGUGUCAAUUCAAACGAAGAAGGAUGCCGAUCCAUGCUCCCUCUCUCUCUCUCCUGAUUGUCCACUGCCGUUUCGUUGUCUUGGGACAACAAAGCUCAAAAGCUUAUCUUCAAAGAGUGCAACGUGAACCGCUGUAAUGAAAAAGAAAAGAAAAGAAAAGAAAAGAAAAGAAAAGAAAAAAUGAUGCUCGCUCUUUAAACGGCUCCUGUACGCCAUUCCUUCGAACAAUGCACAGCGCUGGCCUUGUGGCAGACAAGCUGGACACGCCUAUUCUCACCGCACUUGCAAGUAGCCAAGAGCGAACAUCCUG